AUACGGAGGAUCCGAGCGUUAUCCGGAUUUAUUGGGUUUAAAGGGUGCGUAGGCGGAUUAAUAAGUCAGUUGUGAAAGUUUGCGGCUCAACCGUAAAAUUGCAGUUGAUACUGUUAAUCUUGAGUGUACAUAAGGUAGGCGGAAUUCGUGGUGUAGCGGUGAAAUGCUUAGAUAUCACGAAGAACUCCGAUUGCGAAGGCAGCUUACCGGGGUACAACUGACGCUGAGGCACGAAAGUGUGGGUAUCAAACAGGAUUAGAUACCCUGGUAGUCCACACAGUAAACGAUGAAUACUCGCUGUUUGCGAUAUACAGUAAGCGGCCAAGCGAAAGCAUUAAGUAUUCCACCUGGGGAGUACGCCGGCAACGGUGAA
rnacentral:rRNA from 1 species